UGCAGUCGAGCGAGAAGUUUAUGGAGUGCGUUUUCGGACAAGUGAAGUAAACGGAAAGCGGCGGACGGGUGAGUAACGCGUAGGCAACCUGCCCCAUACAGAGGGAUAGCCUCGAGAAAUCGGGAUUAAAACCUCAUAAUGCCAUCGAGUCACAUGGCUCUUUGGCCAAAGAUUUAUCGGUAUGGGAUGGGCCUGCGUCUGAUUAGCUAGUUGGUGAGGUAACGGCUCACCAAGGCUGCGAUCAGUAGCAGAACUGAGAGGUUCAUCUGCCACAUUGGAACUGAGACACGGUCCAAACUCCUACGGGAGGCAGCAGUGAGGAAUAUUGCACAAUGGGCGAAAGCCUGAUGCAGCAACGCCGCGUGAGCGAUGAAGGCCUUUGGGUCGUAAAGCUCUGUCCUUGGGGAAGAAACAAAUGACGGUACCCUUGGAGGAAGCCCCGGCUAACUACGUGCCAGCAGCCGCGGUAAUACGUAGGGGGCGAGCGUUAUCCGGAAUUAUUGGGCGUAAAGAGUGCGUAGGUGGUCUUGUAAGCGUGGGGUGAAAGGCAGUGGCUUAACCAUUGUUAGCCUUGCGAACUGUGAGACUUGAGUGCAGGAGAGGAAAGUGGAAUUCCUAGUGUAGCGGUGAAAUGCGUAGAUAUUAGGAGGAACACCAGUGGCGAAGGCGACUUUCUGGACUGUAACUGACACUGAGGCACGAAAGCGUGGGGGAGCAAACAGGAUUAGAUACCCUGGUAGUCCACGCCGUAAACGAUGAACACUAGGUGUCGGGGUUUAA
rnacentral:rRNA from 1 species